GUGUGACUGACAGUGCUUGUAAACAUGUUUCUAACGUGAGGUGACCUGAUAGGCAGAGGUUUGUUGUAGGGAAGUCAGAGAAGGGAAAUCUGGACAUGCAAGAGCCACGAGCUGGGGAAGUGUCUCAAGCAAGGUCUGGCAGCACUUUUUGCAGAUGAGAGCAGUUGUGUCACCCUCUGGAGAAGGGGCUGGUGAGCCAGGACAGGGAGAGGAAGCUUGACGAGUGAGACAUUGAAUGGGGUAUGAUGCUGACCUUGUGUGGCACUCCCAAGCACCAUGGUUGCACAGCUGCCUCCCAGCAGCAAUGACCUUCCUCACCUUUGGUUCCUCAGGGAUAAGCCAUGGUGGCCACCUGUCUUUGAGCAGCAGUACAGAGUUCCCAGACUCACAGGACACAAGAAAAGCCUCAGGAGAAAGAAGGACACUGCUCCUGAAAAGCAAAUGGAGGCCUUGUUCUGAAUGUCCCCUGCAAAGAGCUCAUUGGGAAGAAAAUAGUAGUUCAGUGAAG